rnacentral:tRNA from 2 species
GGGCCUAUGGCGCAGUUGGUAGCGCGCCUCGUUCGCAUCGAGGAGGUCAGGAGUUCGAAUCUCCUUAGGUCCACCG